AUUUAAAUAAUUUAAUUAAAAUAUUGAUUUGUGGGGUCAAAAAUAUGAAUAGCUCAUUUUAAGUU
rnacentral:tRNA from 1 species